rnacentral:rRNA from 1 species
CCUACGGGUGGCAGCAGUGGGGAAUAUUGCACAAUGGGGGAAACCCUGAUGCAGCGACGCCGCGUGAGUGAAGAAGUAUUUCGGUUUGUAAAGCUCUAUUAUCAGGGAAGAUAAUGACGGUAUCUGAUUAAUAAGCCCCGGCUAACUACGUGCCAGCAGCCGCGGUAAUACGGAGGGUGCAAGCGUUAUCCGGAUUUACUGGGUGUAAAGGGAGCGUAGGCGGGAGAAUAAGUCAGGUGUGAAAUGCUGUAGCUUAACCACAGAACUGCAUUGGAAACUGUGACUCUAGAGUGCAGGAGAGGUAAGUGGAAUGCUUGGUGUAGGGGUGAAAUGCGUAGAGAUUAGGAGGAAUACCAGUUGCGAAGGCGACUUACUGGAAUGUAACUGACGUUGAGGCUCGAAAGCGUGGGGAGCAAACAGGAUUAGAUACCCGAGUAGUC